rnacentral:misc_RNA from 1 species
CUGAAGAAGCUUUCAAAAGGGUUCUUCACCACGAAUGCGCAUUCCUAUGAACUAUAUGUUAAAUGCGAACUAUCCGACGGAUGACAAUUGCUGUAAUGAGUUGGGUUCAAGGGAAAAUACUGCCAUCAACUUUUCCUUUGUAAGUUGCUCAGACCCUUGAGACUUGAUCACAAACGUAUGAAACACUGUUUCAUUUGCUGCAGCAAGUUUGGAGUCCAUCACACUGACCUGUGCCUCUUUGAAAGC